rnacentral:rRNA from 1 species
GACGAACGCUGGCGGCGUGCUUAACACAUGCAAGUCGAACGGAAAGGCCCUGCUUUUGUGGGGUGCUCGAGUGGCGAACGGGUGAGUAACACGUGAGUAACCUGCCCUUGACUUUGGGAUAACUUCAGGAAACUGGGGCUAAUACCGGAUAGGAGCUCCUGCUGCAUGGUGGGGGUUGGAAAGUUUCGGCGGUUGGGGAUGGACUCGCGGCUUAUCAGCUUGUUGGUGGGGUAGUGGCUUACCAAGGCUUUGACGGGUAGCCGGCCUGAGAGGGUGACCGGCCACAUUGGGACUGAGAUGCGGCCCGGACUCCUACGGGAGGAAGCAGUGGGGAAUAUUGCACAAUGGGCGGAAGCCUGAUGCAGCAACGCCGCGUGCGGGAUGACGGCCUUCGGGUUGUAAACCGCUUUCGCCUGUGACGAAGCGUGAGUGACGGUAAUGGGUAAAGAAGCACCGGCUAACUACGUG